GCGUACGAGGGAAGCGAUGAUCCGCCUGGUCCUCACCGACGCUUCGGCGCACGGAGAAACACGGUCGCCUAGACCAGGCGGGGAGCUAGUGGCGAGACCGGCCCGAUCCGC
rnacentral:ncRNA from 1 species